rnacentral:pre_miRNA from 1 species
AUAUGUGAGUGUGAUAUGUGAGUGUGAUAUGUGAGUGUUAUAUGUGAGUGUGAUAUGUGAUUGUGAUAUGAUAUCACACUCACAUAUCACACUCACUG